rnacentral:rRNA from 1 species
AUCCUGGCUCAGGACGAACGCUGGCGGCGUGCCUAAUACAUGCAAGUCGAGCGGACAGAUGGGAGCUUGCUCCCUGAUGUCAGCGGCGGACGGGUGAGUAACACGUGGGUAACCUGCCUGUAAGACUGGGAUAACUCCGGGAAACCGGGGCUAAUACCGGAUGCUUGAUUGAACCGCAUGGUUCAAUUAUAAAAGGUGGCUUUUAGCUACCACUUACAGAUGGACCCGCGGCGCAUUAGCUAGUUGGUGAGGUAACGGCUCACCAAGGCAACGAUGCGUAGCCGACCUGAGAGGGUGAUCGGCCACACUGGGACUGAGACACGGCCCAGACUCCUACGGGAGGCAGCAGUAGGGAAUCUUCCGCAAUGGACGAAAGUCUGACGGAGCAACGCCGCGUGAGUGAUGAAGGUUUUCGGAUCGUAAAACUCUGUUGUUAGGGAAGAACAAGUACCGUUCGAAUAGGGCGGUACCUUGACGGUACCUAACCAGAAAG